AUCAGAGCCUCACUUUGCAUGAAUUGAUAGACCAUAUACAAAGGUUCCUUGAUGUUCUUUGGGAGAGGUUGGGGUGAACAAGUCAUAACUCUGGUUGCUUCACGAGGACGUUCAGUUUAAAGAGGUCGGGAAUGAUGCGUCCUACAUCGGUUCUGCAGGAAGGUCUUGGGUGUUAUAUAUAUGAGUUUGCAAACCUUUCCUUAUGUGCUAGCUUUUGAAGUGGAGUUAAGUAGGUUCAUAUCACCAUUCAUCCUUUUUGUAUUGUGGAAAAAGUAUAUGCAUCACUGUUAUUCAAAUCUGAGAAGCAUUUGUUAUCAAUGUCAACCUAAAUUGCAUAUGCCAGAAUAUUAGUAGAUUUUAUUGUAAAAAGCUGAGUGCUGAUGGGAUUACCUAGAUUUGAGCAAUACUUUGAUGUGCAGAAAUUACUUCAGUUGAUUUACACAUUGUGAUAUUUUGCUUUGAGGAUGUGAAUAAAAUUAGAAUGCCAGGGAUUUUUGUUGCUAAAUAUGAUUUUAAAUAGAGUUGAACAUGAAAGAGAUGCAAGGAAUCACUGGUCUAUCAGGUUGAGAAAUUUUUGGUAACCGAGUUAGUCUUUUAUCUUUUUUACCCCCUUUCACUUACAUUGGAUUUAUAAGUUGUAUUAGAUUCUGGCCACCAUAAGUAGCUGAUUUGCUUGAUGCUUAACCUUUUCUUCUCUUUUCAUUAUUGCCUAGGUUGGACCACUUGCUGCUCAUUAUCAAGUGCCUUUGUGUCAUAUUUUAUUGGUAUGCAUUUUAAUAAUAUACAGCAGUGUAUAUGAACUAUCAGUUACAUUUUAAUAAUUACAUUUUAAUAACUUUCGGAGAAGAGCAACACUGUAUGUGACCUAACUUGACUAUCAGUGUAUGUGAACUAUCAGUUGAUCUCUGUUACUGAUAGUCACUGCAUUAGUGUUACUCCGCAAUUUCUUUCAGUGCAGGGGUCAUAUUUUCUAAAUCCACCUUUACUUUCCUUACUACAUUAAAUCAAAUUCCAUCCAACUUCUUUAAUAUAAUUGUGAUGAAUGAUGAUGUCUUCAUGUAGAUGCAUCCAUGGGGGACACAAUUGACUAGAUAAUUUUGAAUUCUUGUCUUUUCAUGCAAAGAACUUCCAACUCUUUUUUUUUUUUUUUUUUCCUUCCUGUUUUUGUCAAAUUGAAAACCAGGAGAUAAAUAGAACUAUAACUUUUGAUAUCUUGCUACAGAGUGAAAGUGUGAUCGACCAUUUGCAUGGUUGCCAGGAAUUUCCUCAACUGUGUUUAGGUAUUGGAAAUCCACCUGACACCAUGGACAUGAAGGCUUUUCUUCUACAGGAGUUCAGUUCAACAGAGAGAGAACCAAGUAUAUAAUUGCCGUGUGAAACUCCAAUAUAAAUUGUUUUCACCUUUUUCUAUGGCUGAGUUUUAAUCAUUGAAAAUAAUUGAGGCAUGCUAUUUCAUGAAAAAUAAUCAAAUCAUGUUAUCUUAUGAAAAAACAUUUAAACUCUAUUAUAUAUGAAACAUCUUACUGUUAA